CACGUAGGAGGCAAACGUUAUCCGGAUUUACUGGGCGUAAAGCGCGUGUAGGUGGUUCUGUAAGUAGGGCGUGAAAGCUCCCGGCUCAACUGGGAGAGGCCGUUCUAAACUGCAGAGCUAGAGGAUGGUAGAGGGAGGUGGAAUUCCAGGUGUAGCGGUUGAAUGCGCAGAUAUCUGGAGGAACACCAGUGGCGAAGGCGGCCUCCUGGACCAUUCCUGACACUCAGACGCGAAAGCUAGGGUAGCAAACGGGAUUAGAUACUCGCGUAGU
rnacentral:rRNA from 1 species